rnacentral:tRNA from 1 species
CGGAUGUAGCUCAGAUGGUUAGAGCGCCAGUUUGUGGCACUGGAGGUCGUGGGUUCGAUCCCCAUCAUUC